CCUGCCUCUCUUUUUUUGCCCACAUGCUCAUCUCCGGACUGACUGUCGCACGGAGCGUAUGGCUGUACAACACGAACCGGACAGGUUUGAAGGCCCCGUCUCCACAUGCGGAGCACACUUGGUAAUCUCUAACGACACGCGAAUGUGGCACGGCACGGUGGUUGGGAAUCGCUGGUCUAAAUACGCCCUGUGAUUGACUGGUGACCAGUCCAGUGUGUCAGCUGGAAUAGGCUCCAGCUCAUCCGCUGCCCUACUGAUGACAAACGGUACAGAAAAUGGCUGGAUGGACGGAUAUUGGACUGAGCCGUCCGAAACAUCCCGAUGGCGAAAAUAAGUUCCAUUUCCUUUUACAUUGUUAUCAUCACGUCCUUAUUUGUCUUUCCCCUCAUAAUUUCCUCCAUCCUGAAGGGGUUUCACCAGCCGUGCGUGAAUGCGAGAGCUUCGCAGGUAUUGUUACCCGCCUCACUGAUGACACAUCUAUCCGCAACCAGGAACGACCACAAAGGACGCAGCUGCCUCUUUUCUGCCGCAGGAGCAUCCAGGUGACAAGUGACAUCAUGGCGGGCGGGCUCAGGCGGCCAUCCCAGUGUGUACACCGCUUCUUGCCCAAAGUCAGCUGUGAUACAGAGUGCUCCAAUGAGAACAAGCACUAUAUAAAACGUCUGAAUGUUUUUGUUUACAAUAAAACUUUGUUUUAAAUGAAAAAAAAAUGUCUGGACGUUUUAAUUAGUUAUAAAUCUUUGUUUAACUUCGAACGAUUGCAUGCUAGAAAUCCUAUGGUAUAUUAUCUGUAAUAUCAGUUUGUGCAAGAAAAUAGCAGUAAGUCAUAUCAUAUUACAUGUAAAAGUGAUGAAUAAAUUCCUUACAUACUUUUGAUCACGUUUGCCCUAAAAAGAAAAACUUGUA